rnacentral:rRNA from 1 species
GAUGAACGCUGGCGGCGUGCCUAAUACAUGCAAGUCGAGCGAACAGAUGAGGAGCUUGCUCCUCUGACGUUAGCGGCGGACGGGUGAGUAACACGUGGAUAACCUACCUAUAAGACUGGGAUAACUUCGGGAAACCGGAGAUAAUACCGGCUCAUAUAUUGAACCGCAUGGUUCAAUAGUGAAAGACGGUUUUGCUGUCACUUAUAGAUGGAUCCGCGCCGCAUUAGCUAGUUGGUAAGGUAACGGCUUACCAAGGCAACGAUGCGUAGCCGACCUGAGAGGGUGAUCGGCCACACUGGAACUGAGACACGGUCCAGACUCCUACGGGAGGCAGCAGUAGGGAAUCUUCCGCAAUGGGCGAAAGCCUGACGGAGCAACGCCGCGUGAGUGAUGAAGGUCUUCGGAUCGUAAAACUCUGUUAUUAGGGAAGAACAAAUGUGUAAGUAACUAUGCACGUCUUGACGGUACCUAAUCAGAAAGCCACGGCUAACUACGUG